CAUCAAUGGUCAAACAAGGUU
rnacentral:misc_RNA from 1 species